ACGCACGCUGGCGGCGUGCUUAACACAUGCAAGUCGAACGGAAAGGCCCUGCUUUUGUGGGGUGCUCGAGUGGCGAACGGGUGAGUAACACGUGAGUAACCUGCCCUUGACUUUGGGAUAACUUCAGGAAACUGGGGCUAAUACCGGAUAGGAGCUCCUGCUGCAUGGUGGGGGUUGGAAAGUUUCGGCGGUUGGGGAUGGACUCGCGGCUUAUCAGCUUGUUGGUGGGGUAGUGGCUUACCAAGGCUUUGACGGGUAGCCGGCCUGAGAGGGUGACCGGCCACAUUGGGACUGAGAUACGGCCCAGACUCCUACGGGAGGCAGCAGUGGGGAAUAUUGCACAAUGGGCGGAAGCCUGAUGCAGCAACGCCGCGUGCGGGAUGACGGCCUUCGGGUUGUAAACCGCUUUCGCCUGUGACGAAGCGUGAGUGACGGUAAUGGGUAAAGAAGCACCGGCUGACUACGUG
rnacentral:rRNA from 1 species